CUUCUUCCUCGCUACCAACCAGAUCAAAAUCACUACUGUGUCCCUCAGGAGUCCACACUGAUUUGCUCCGUGAGCAAUUAGCUGGCACAGGGCAGGCAGCCAGUUAUUGACUAGGCCACCAGCAAGAAUACCAGAACUUCAAGAACUGUGGUUAACAUUGUUUGGAAAGCCUGUGAGGGGCAUUGCAGCCUUGCCUCUUCCAGAUCAAAAGAAGAGAGGAAAAUUGGAUGGCUCAUGGAAGAAAGCUGAUGGGGAUGCCCACAGCUGAACUGGUCACAGUCAGCUGUCUUUACAAAAGAGAUGUCUUUAUGAAAAAGUUCCAGGCUGUGAAGAGCCCAUCUUCCCAUGGUGCUGUCUACUGGAGGUGCCUUGAGCCCAGAACAGAAGUUUUCUAUUACACCUGCUAAACCAGAUAUCCAACCCUGAGAGCUGCAUGCUGAGCAGAAGAGAAGGAUCACCUGCCUCCUCCUGCUGACAAGAUUCCUCCUCAUGCAGCUGGAAUCCUGGGAGCCUGCUUUGCUGAGAGGAGACAUUUCAUGAGUACUCAUGGAUGCAAUAAAAAGUGGAAGC